rnacentral:lncRNA from 10 species
UGAAGUCAUAAAUAUUUCUGACAAUGAUAAUUGACACUUAUCUUGGGUAACCCCGUUUGCUCCUCUGAUCCUCGGUUUUUCUCAUCCUUAAAUAUGGAUAAUAAUAUCAAAUGACUAGGGCUACUUGGGCAUCAAAUGAAAAAAUGUUAAGAACAGUGCAUAAAACUGGGGCUAGCAGGGAGUAGAGGCUCAAAGUGGCGCUGUGAUCCUUGCACAGGCACAUCACCUGCUGCUGUGGGAGAACAUGUGAUGUGGGCAGCUCACCAAGCAAAUGAGAGGCAAAACAGGUGCUGGCUGUCUUAAUUCCAGAGGCUCUAACGCAGUCUCCUGCUGACUGAAUCCUCUUCUCUGAGCCCGUUCAUUCACUGUCUCUGCCAGCUGUUUCCAAGUGUGAACCCAGUGGAGACCUUUUCAAACUGUAGCCAUGAAGCAGGUUGCAUGAGGCAGUUCCAUCUCCUGGCAACUGUCUCCAUAGACACAGCCUGGUUUCGGUCCGCAUCCCUUACCUAGGAUUCUUCCUGGCUAAAGAAACCCAUAAAAGUGGAAAACUCAAACUCCACAGUGCAAAUAUCUCUUGAGUCUGCCUGCACUACCCUUUCUUGAAUGUGUAUUGAUAAGACUGCAGUUGACAUUUUAAGAAAUUUAAAUUUCAACCUGAAGUCAAUAAGGACACCUCAGAAGUUUUCAAAGGAAGGAUGGAGUCUGUUGAAAAGAACCGGUUGGUAAAAUGAGAAAAAAUGGAUUGAAGGAGACCCAAGUGACCACCUGGUAAUUACUUCAACAGCAGAGCGACUCAUACAGCCGGCAGUCCACUUUGUUCUUCUAUAGAUCCUGCCUGUGGUGUUGGAUCUAACAGCUUCUUCCCUGACCCAAGAUUAUGAAGGAUUUCUCCUGUGUUCUCUUCUAAAAAUUUUACAUUUAGGUACAUAAUCCAUUUUGAGCUAAUUCUUUUAAAUAGUGCAAAGUAUGGAUUGAAGUUCUUUUUUUUUUUUUUUUUUGCAGAUACAUAUUUAAUUUUUCCAGCACCAUUUGUUGAAAAGACUAAUGUUCUUGCCUGAAUAGCCUUUGCAUUGUUGUUGAAAAUCAUGUUCACACAUGUACACAUUCCACUGAUCUAUUUGCCUCUUUGUGAAAAUACUACUAUUUUGAUUAAUAUAUAUUUAUAGGGAGUCUUAAAAUCAUAUCUUAAAAAGAUAGUGGAAGUUAUUUAACCUUACUCUUGCUUUUAGAAAUUGUUUUGGAUAUUCUAGAUCUUUUGUGUUUCCAUAUAAAUUUUAUAAUCAGUUUGGCAAUUUAUUUAAAAUAUUCUUCUGGGAUUUUGAUGGACAUUACACUGAAUCGAUGGAUCGCUUUGGGGACAACUGACAUCUUAACAAUAUUGAGUCAUCUAACAUAUGAUCAUGGAAAUUGCUCCAUUUAUUUAGAUCUUCUUUCACAUCUUGAAGCAGUGUUUUGCGUUUUCAGUGUAUAGGUAUUUAAUAGAUUUAAAAAUAUGAUCCCUAAAUAUUCAAUGUUUUUGAUGCUAUUGGAAUUUUAAAAAAUUAAUUUCUGUUCUGAGGAAGGAAAAUAAUAAAAGAUUAAACAAGAAAAAUAAAAAUAAUCAAAAUAAAAGAUAAAUCAUUGACAAAUAUAAUAAAAAAUAAAAUAAUAACAAAAAAUAUAAAAAAUUAAUUUCUUAUUUUUU